UAGAUUCUGUAAAUCGAAUCUAGCUUUUGCCCAUUGCUAUAUGGCCAUAUGCUAUUUAGUAUCUUGACUCUAGGUUUACUAAGGUAUGAAGGGGUGGGGGUAGAACGCCCCCAGGCCACACAUACAGGGCUUAGAGCUGAUUAUUCACAUUAGUCACAUGCAUAUAUUUUAGGUAACCAACCUGAAUUCUGCCCCAGUUACACCAGCUACGCUUGGUAUACAGAGAGUUUGUGGGAACUUCUUUCAUUCAAAUCCAGUAGGACAAACUGCUGGAACCACAUUAUGUAGUGCUCAUGUUCCAUUCCGCUGGGGAGUGAGGUUUGAUGAUGGAGAAAAAACAGAUGAUACAACUCCAGAAACUAAUCUAAAUGCUGCAGAGAACUUUGACAAGGGUGGAAUGAUUGGUUUCAACAUGAACUGGUUCCAAGUAGCAUGCUAAACUAAGAACAGAAUUAUAACAGAAAUAAAACAAACAAAAGAUAAAACGGUAAUAAAAAUAUUGUUUUAAGAAUA